ACGAGUGGCGGACGGGUGAGUAAUGUCUGGGAAACUGCCUGAUGGAGGGGGAUAACUACUGGAAACGGUAGCUAAUACCGCAUAACGUCGCAAGACCAAAGAGGGGGACCUUCGGGCCUCUUGCCAUCGGAUGUGCCCAGAUGGGAUUAGCUAGUAGGUGGGGUAACGGCUCACCUAGGCGACGAUCCCUAGCUGGUCUGAGAGGAUGACCAGCCACACUGGAACUGAGACACGGUCCAGACUCCUACGGGAGGCAGCAGUGGGGAAUAUUGCACAAUGGGCGCAAGCCUGAUGCAGCCAUGCCGCGUGUAUGAAGAAGGCCUUCGGGUUGUAAAGUACUUUCAGCGGGGAGGAAGGGAGUAAAGUUAAUACCUUUGCUCAUUGACGUUACCCGCAGAAGAAGCACCGGCUAACUCCGUGCCAGCAGCCGCGGUAAUACGGAGGGUGCAAGCGUUAAUCGGAAUUACUGGGCGUAAAGCGCACGCAGGCGG
rnacentral:rRNA from 1 species